CAAUAGCGUAUAUUAAAGUUGUUGCAGUUAAAAAGCUCGUAGUUGGAGUUCAGAGUGAGCUCGUCCGGUCGGCCUUAUGGGUCAGAACUGGUUGACUCUCUCUUGUUUGUGGAUCCUGUCAGCAGUUAACUCUGUUGAUGUGGAGUCCACAUCGUUUACCUUGAAAAAAUUAGAGUGUUCAAAGCAGGCGUUUGCUUGAAUAUAUUAGCAUGGAAUAAUGGAAUAGGACGCUGGUUCUAUUUUGUUGGUUUUCGGAACUUGAGGUAAUGAUUAAGAGGGACAGACGGGGGCAUUCGUAUUACGGUGUUAGAGGUGAAAUUCUUGGAUCGCCGUAAGACGAACUACUGCGAAAGCAUUUGCCAAGAAUGUUUUCAUUAAUCAAGAUCGAAAGUCAGAGGUUCGAAGACGAUUAGAU
rnacentral:rRNA from 1 species